AACGAACGCUGGCGGCAGGCUUAACACAUGCAAGUCGGGCGCCCCGCAAGGGGAGCGGCAGACGGGUGAGUAACGCGUGGGAAUCUACCCAUCUCUACGGAAUAACGCAUGGAAACGUGUGCUAAUACCGUAUACGUCCUUCGGGAGAAAGAUUUAUCGGAGAUGGAUGAGCCCGCGUUGGAUUAGCUAGUUGGUGGGGUAAAGGCCUACCAAGGCGACGAUCCAUAGCUGGUCUGAGAGGAUGAUCAGCCACACUGGGACUGAGACACGGCCCAGACUCCUACGGGGGGCAGCAGUGGGGAAUAUUGGACAAUGGGCGCAAGCCUGAUCCAGCCAUGCCGCGUGAGUGAUGAAGGCCCUAGGGUUGUAAAGCUCUUUCACCGGUGAAGAUAAUGACGGUAACCAGAGAAGAAGCCCCGGCUAACUUCGUGCCAGCAGCCGCGGUAAUAC
rnacentral:rRNA from 1 species